CUUCCUCUCAGGAUCUGUGAGGGAGGCGAGAGCUGCAGCGUCUUGGUUGGUAGGCAUGAGGGGUGUAUUGCUUUGAAGCAAUGCUUGGCUGCUGUAACCAAGAGACCCAGUCGUAAUUGAGCAGCUUACAUGAGAUAGGUGUUUACUCGUCACAGUUUGAGGUGAGUCAGAGGGACCCGAGUUCCUGCCACUAGGCCUUGGUUUUGUCUUACAGGGCUGGGCUGCCAUGGCUCCAGCCCCAGGAAAGGAAAAGGGAGCAUAGAGAAGGCACACCCACAUGCCCUGAGGCUCAGGCUUGGAUGUGGCACCCCUCAGGAGGGGUUGGGGUGCAGGUGGACGGAGUCUCUGCUGAGAGCUGCCCCAUGAGUGUGGGGCCUGGACUACUUUCUGGCCGGUGUGGUACAGUGGACGAGCUGAGUCUGUUCCUCUCUUAGCACGAGAAGGGGCUGACGGCAGAAGCACUCUGAGCAAGGGUGUGGUGGCAUCUUUCCCCACCUCCUUGUAAGUGAUGGCCCCCAUCCACCCCCAUCCUUGCACCAACGUGGGCUGCAAGAGGCUGAAAUGCUCUUUCACACUUAUUAUGAAAAGAAAACAUCAUACGGGGGAAUGGACCUCCUAAACAGGGCUGCCAGGCUCAGGAAGGGAGUAACCGUCCAUGGAGCACAGACCACUACUUGCAGUCAGCAGCAAAGGAGAUGUCCCUCACAGGCAGGAGUGGGGGUGCCUGGGUUCCAUCACUGGGCCCCAGUCGGCUCGGAGCCAGCCUGCUCUUCCCCAGGGCUGUUGCUGCAUAGAUGGGCCCGUCGGGUCACAUGUGUGCUGAUCGUGUGCCAUUGGCCACCUCUGCAGAGCCAGUGGAUCGGUUUGCACAGCAUAUUUCCCCACUGCUGCCACCCCCACAGUCAACAUGCACACUUCAUCAGGAGCUGACCGCUGGGCAAGCCAGAGCCGACAGUUUCAGCCCACCCCAAACAUAACCUAAUGCCCCCCUCUAUUUUUAAGGAUUAAAUCAAUGCAUAAAACACUCGCAUGAUUCAGAGGGCAUGAUAUAGCUUAUCCACUUUUUCCUUCAUGUCAUCAGCUUGGCAUUUCUUUAAACAAUGAAACUAUAUUCUUUCUUUUAUGUGAAACGGCCUCAGAGACCUUGACUUGCCGUCAGAGGACCUGGCUCUCUUGGGGUCUCCACGAAGAACUCAUCCUGGCUGCAAACAGUUCUCUCCUCGACUCUCUCCUACGAAAGGAGCAUUCUGGGCCCCAAGUACUCUGCGGUGUUUUCUCCUUGGAGGACAGAGUGGCAGAAGGUCUCUUUCCUGUUAGUCCCCAAAGGUGGAGAGAAGGAUGUCAGAGCUUGGAAGAGGGUGCAGGAUGCCACUCCCGACCUCACUUCCCUGCCUCCUGUGCCCAGGCAAGCUCCAAGCUGGAAAGGACCUGCUAGCCUGGUGGCAUGCGAUGGCCUUGGUUCUGUGAUGCUUGGGUGAGAAGAAUAGCUCACUGAUAGUCUUCCAGUAACUGCAUCAUUCAGCCAUUCAACAAACACUCUUCAGGUAAGAGAAACCCUAAGCGGCCAUCAGAUCUAUCUCAAGGUCAAACUUUCUCCAAAGACUCUUGCCUGCCCCGUCCCUCAAGCCCUGGAGAAACAGAUUGCAGAUUCUUUGGGUCCCCUGGGCUUCUCAGUGUGACAUCUGAGACUGUCCUCCCCUCUUCCAAUCUGAGUCCCACCCACUGCAAUCUUAUUUCGUCUUAGUGCCUCCUCCCCAGCUGACUUGGGGCUGUAAGUCCUCCAGCCUGGGAGGGGAGUUGUGUUAACACUUUGCUCUGUCGUUUCCCCAAAAUUCACUGCUAUAUAAUUAGCAAUCAUCAGAUUGUUGUUUAUUGAAGAUGGA
ensembl:lncRNA